rnacentral:rRNA from 1 species
CUGUGAAGCAUCCUGUUAAGUCAGGCAACGAGCGAGACCCACGCCCACAGUUGCCAGCGUACUCUCUGGAGUGACGGGUACGACUGUGGGGACCGCCGCUGCUAAAGCGGAGGAAGGAAUGGGCAACGGUAGGUCAGUAUGCCCCGAAUAUCCCGGGCUACACGCGAGCUACAAUGGUUGGUACAAUGGGUAUCUACCCGAAAGGGACGGGAAUCUCCUAAAACCAAUCUUAGUUCGGAUUGAGGGCUGCAACUCGCCCUCAUGAAGCUGGAAUCCGUAGUAAUCGCGUUUCAACAGAACGCGGUGAAUACGUCCCUGCUCCUU